UACGGAGGGUGCGAGCGUUAAUCGGAAUUACUGGGCGUAAAGGGUGCGUAGGUGGUUGUAUAAGUUAUCUGUGAAAUCCCUGGGCUUAACCUAGGAAGGUCAGAUAAGACUGUAUAACUCGAGUAUAGGAGAGGGUAGUGGAAUUUCCGGUGUAGCGGUGAAAUGCGUAGAGAUCGGAAGGAACACCAGUGGCGAAGGCGGCUACCUGGCCUAAUACUGACACUGAGGCACGAAAGCGUGGGGAGCAAACAGG
rnacentral:rRNA from 1 species